ACACGUAGGGGCCUGACGUUGUUCGGAAUCAUUGGGCGUAAAGGGUGCGUAGGCGGCCUUGUAAGUCAGAUGUGAAAGAUCAUGGCUUAACUGUGGUAAGCAUUUGAAACUGCAGGGCUUGAGUACAGGAGAGGAGAGUGGAAUUCCUAGUGUAGCGGUGAAAUGCGUAGAUAUUAGGAGGAAUACCAGUGGCGAAGGCGACUCUCUGGACUGAUACUGACGCUGAGGCACGAAAGCGUGGGGAGCAAACAGGGUUAGAUACCCUGGUAGUCCACGCUAUAAACGAUGAGUGCUAGGUGUCGGGGGUCAAACCUCGGUGCCGCAGUUAACACAUUAAGCACUCCGCCUGGGGAGUACGGCCGCAAGGCUGAAACUCAAAUGAAUUGACGGGG
rnacentral:rRNA from 1 species